rnacentral:rRNA from 1 species
AUAUCAGUAGCGGAGGAAAAGAAACUAACAAGGAUUCCCCUAGUAACGGCGAGUGAAGCGGGAAAAGCUCAAAUUUAAAAUCUGGCGUGCCUUUGGUCGUCCGAGUUGUAGUCUAGAGAGGCACUUUCUGUGCUGGACCGUGUAAAAGUUUCUUGGAACAGAGCAUCAUAGAGGGUGAGAAUCCCGUCUUGACACGGAUUACCAGUGCUAUGUGAUGUGCUCUUCAAAGAGUCGAGUUGUUUGGGAAUGCAGCUCAAAAUGGGUGGUAAAUUCCAUCUAAAGCUAAAUAUUGGCGAGAGACCGAUAGCGCACAAGUA